rnacentral:tRNA from 1 species
GCGGAUAUGGCGGAAUUGGCAGACGCGCUAGAUUCAGGUUCUAGUGAGGGAAACUUCAUGCAGGUUCAAGUCCUGUUAUCCGCACCA